GCCCCUGUAGCUCAACGGUUAGAGCAGCAGACUCAUAAUCUGUUGGUUCGGGGUUCGAAUCCCUGCGGGGGCACCA
rnacentral:tRNA from 4 species